GGCCCGCGCAGUGCCCGCGCUGGGCUCGGGCUGAUUGGCUGUGGCCUUCGCGCCCCGGCGCUGGGAAAUGGUCUCUGUGCCUAGCAAAGGGAUCGACACUGGGGUGCUGCCCGCCUCGGGGCUCUCCCCCGCCCAGGCGGCGGGAAAUGGUCUCUGUGCCUAGCAAAGGGAUCGACACUGGGGUGCUGCCCGCCUCGGGGCUCUCCCCCGCCCAGGCGCUGGGAAAUGGUCUCUGUGCCUAGCGAAGGGAUCGACACUGGGGUGCUGCCCGCCUCGGGGCUCUCCCCCGCCUGGACAGUGCCUGCAGAGAAUCCCCUGGCGCUGCCAACGACAAGCUCCUGAGGGGCAGGACCCUCCCUGCUUCGGACGGCUUCCCACCGUUGCUCAUCAUUUUGCAUGGUCUGAGUUGAGAGCGAGGGGCAGUGGAGCUUGACAGGCCACGGGAGCUGUGACAGGACCAGGCACUGAGCGGGGACAAAGUGAAAGGGGAAAAAGACCCAGGAGGGGCACUACAGCAGAUGAAGGGAGCUGGAGGCUUCAAGCUCGUGUUGCAGCCAUGGACUGUGGCUCCCCUAAGCUGAGCCCUCUCCACAGAGCUGGCUGGUUAGCCUGGCCUUGGAAACAUGCUGGAGUCCUUCUACUGUCCUCCUGUGGUACUUCUUAGGCCUGCCUUUCUUCCACAACAUCUGCAAGGAGGCAGCUGGCAGAACCUAGAAGUGGCUUCCAGGACCAGACACAUGUAAUUCUCCCUUUGGAAUGUCAUUCCCACCAUGGUGGCUAAGGGAGGCGAAGUGUGGACAUUGCUAAGUCCUCUUCCCCCCUCUUUGUGUCUGAUCAUAACAGUCUUUUCCAAUCUUAAUAAUUCUAUGAUCUGUGUGUCUGUGCUUGCACUAAUAGUUGCCUGUCCCCCUCCUCACAUUGUCCUUUUAUGGCACCAAGGUCACUUUGAUGUUUUUCUCACUCUCACUCAGCUUAGUUCCUCUACAAGAUAAAAUGUUCUGUCAA